rnacentral:rRNA from 1 species
GAUGAACGCUGGCGGCGUGCCUAAUACAUGCAAGUCGAACGAAACUUCUUUAUCACCGAGUGCUUGCACUCACCGAUAAAGAGUUGAGUGGCGAACGGGUGAGUAACACGUGGGCAACCUGCCCGAAAGAGGGGGAUAACACUUGGAAACAGGUGCUAAUACCGCAUAACCAUGAACACCGCAUGGUGUUUAUGUGAAAGGUGGUUUCGGCUACCGCUUUCGGAUGGGCCCGCGGCGCAUUAGCUAGUUGGUGGGGUAAAGGCUUACCAAGGCAAGGAUGCGUAGCGGAACUGAGCGGUUGAUCGGCCACAUUGGGACUGAGACAAGGCCCAAACUCCUACGGGAGGAAGCAGUAGGGAAUCUUCCACAAUGGGCGAAAGCCUGAUGGAGCAACGCCGCGUGGGUGAAGAAGGUCUUCGGAUCGUAAAACCCUGUUGUCAGAGAAGAAAGUGCAUGAGAGUAACUGUUCAUGUUUCGACGGUAUCUGACCAGAAAGCCACGGCUAACUACGUGCCAGCCGCCGCCGUAA